rnacentral:rRNA from 1 species
ACCCUACGGAACAACAGUUGGAAACGACUGCUAAUACCGUAUACGCCCUACGGGGGAAAGAUUUAUCGGGGUAUGAUGAGCCCGCGUUGGAUUAGCUAGUUGGUGGGGUAAAGGCCUACCAAGGCGACGAUCCAUAGCUGGUCUGAGAGGAUGAUCAGCCACAUUGGGACUGAGACACGGCCCAAACUCCUACGGGAGGCAGCAGUGGGGAAUAUUGGACAAUGGGCGCAAGCCUGAUCCAGCCAUGCCGCGUGAGUGAUGAAGGUCUUAGGAUUGUAAAGCUCUUUCACCGACGAAGAUAAUGACGGUAGUCGGAGAAGAAGCCCCGGCUAACUUCGUGCCAGCAGCCGCGGUAAUACGAAGGGGGCUAGCGUUGUUCGGAAUUACUGGGCGUAAAGCGCACGUAGGCGGAUAUUUAAGUCAGGGGUGAAAUCCCAGAGCUCAACUCUGGAACUGCCUUUGAUACUGGGUAUCUUGAGUAUGGAAGAGGUGAGUGGAAUUCCGAGUGUAGAGGUG